UACGUAGGGGGCAAGCGUUGUCCGGAUUUAUUGGGCGUAAAGAGCUCGUAGGCGGUCUGUUACGUCUGCUGUGAAAACCCAGGGCUUAACCCUGGGCUUGCAGUGGAUACGGGCAGACUAGAGGCAGGUAGGGGAGAAUGGAAUUCCCGGUGUAGCGGUGAAAUGCGCAGAUAUCGGGAGGAACACCGGUGGCGAAGGCGGUUCUCUGGGCCUGACCUGACGCUGAGGAGCGAAAGCGUGGGGAGCGAACAGG
rnacentral:rRNA from 1 species